rnacentral:rRNA from 1 species
GUGUCAGCAGCCGCGGUAAUACGUAGGGUGCGAGCGUUGUCCGGAUUUAUUGGGCGUAAAGAGCUUGUAGGCGGCUCGUCGCGUCGGGUGUGAAAACUCGCGGCUCAACCGCGAGCCUGCACCCGAUACGGGCGGGCUGGAGUUCGGCAGGGGAGACUGGAAUUCCUGGUGUAGCGGUGGAAUGCGCAGAUAUCAGGAGGAACACCGGUGGCGAAGGCGGGUCUCUGGGCCGAUACUGACGCUGAGAAGCGAAAGCGUGGGGAGCGAACAGGAUUAGAUACCCUGGUAGUCC